GAUGAACGCUGGCGGCGUGCUUAACACAUGCAAGUCGAACGGAGCUUACAUGAUAGAGGAUUCGUCCAAUUGACUGUAAGCUUAGUGGCGAACGGGUGAGUAACGCGUGAGAAACCCUGCCUCUCAGUGGGGGGACAACAGUUGGAAACGACUGCUAAUACCGCAUAACACUUUAGUACCGCAUGGUACAGAAGUCAAAGCUUUAUGUGCUGAGAGAUGGUCUCGCGUCUGAUUAGCUAGUUGGCGGGGUAACGGCCCACCAAGGCGACGAUCAGUAGCCGGUCUGAGAGGAUGAACGGCCACAUUGGGACUGAGAUACGGCCCAGACUCCUACGGGAGGCAGCAGUGGGGAAUAUUGGGCAAUGGGGGAAACCCUGACCCAGCAACGCCGCGUGAAGGAAGAAGGCCUUCGGGUUGUAAACUUCUUUUACCAGGGACGAAGAACGUGACGGUACCUGGAGAAAAAGCAACGGCUAACUACGUG
rnacentral:rRNA from 1 species